rnacentral:rRNA from 1 species
AGAGUUUGAUCAUGGCUCAGAAUCAACGCUGGCGGCGUGCCUAACACAUGCAAGUCGAACGCGAAAGUGGAGCAAUCCAUGAGUAGAGUGGCAAACGGGUGAGUAACGCGUGGGUGACCUGCCUUCGAGUGGGGGAUAACGUUCCGAAAGGGACGCUAAUACCGCAUGACAUCCUGCCUUUGAAGAGGCGGAGAUCAAAGCUGGGGAUCGCAAGACCUAGCACUCGAUGAGGGGCCCGCGUCUGAUUAGCUAGUUGGUGGGGUAACGGCUCACCAAGGCAACGAUCAGUAUCCGGCCUGAGAGGGCGGACGGACACACUGGGACUGAGACACGGCCCAGACUCCUACGGGAGGCAGCAGUGGGGAAUUGUUCGCAAUGGGCGCAAGCCUGACGACGCAACGCCGCGUGGAGGAUGAAGAUCUUCGGGUCGUAAACUCCUUUCGAUCGAGACGAACAGCCUUCGGGUAAACAAUCCGGAGGUCUGACGGUACCGAGAGAAGAAGCCCCGGCUAACUCCGUGCCAGCAGCCGCGGUAAUACGGGGGGGGCAAGCGUUGUUCGGAAUUACUGGGCGUAAAGGGCUCGUAGGCGGCCAACUAAGUCAGACGUGAAAUCCCUCGGCUUAACCGGGGAACUGCGUCUGAUACUGGAUGGCUUGAGUUUGGGAGAGGGAUGCGGAAUUCCAGGUGUAGCGGUGAAAUGCGUAGAUAUCUGGAGGAACACCGGUGGCGAAGGCGGCAUCCUGGACCAACACUGACGCUGAGUGAGCGAAAGCCAGGGGAGCAAACGGGAUUAGAUACCCUAGUAGUCC